AGUUUGGACGCGGCAGUCCAGAGGGAAGGACGCACUUAUACUUCUCUCGUGCAUACCAUCCAGUCACUAUGCAUGUUGUUAAUAUAAAUAGCUGUGUGCUUACUCUGAGGUGAACCUGGUACUGGCUUUUUCUGAGGUCCCUUUUUGCCAGCCAUUGUGUAAACCACUUUCAUCGAUGGUGACCGAAUAUUGGUGAAGUCUUGUGUAGACGAAGUGGCCAGUAGAGAACAUUGUCCAUUGGAGGACCUUACCAGUCCAUUCUUGUGUAGACCAAGUGGCAAUAGACUACAGUGGAGGACCUUACCAGUUCCCAUACUAGGACAACUACUUUCAAUAUAAAAUCAGCCGUGUACUGGUUAUUUGGGACCUUGGAAAAAUGAUAACCAGAGUUGGACCUGUCUCAGUAAGUCGGAACAUUCUGGUAACUGCAGAGUAGUAAGCUAUUUUGUGUUUCGUGAUACUGGAUGUAUUUGUUUUCGCGAUGUAUUGUGUAUCAUAGCUACUGGUGGUUUUGAGUUAAUCACAUGUGAAGAGAGGUUCAAGUUAAUUUAUUCUUGUACCGAUAGUUUCAUGUCAAACAUGGAUGAUUUGAAUGAGUUAAAAGCAUUUGGUGAGGGUUUAGGUCUUAAAGACAUUACAUAAUCGGUCGUUCAGUAGGUGUUCAAGACUCGUGACCGUGCAUAAAAUACUUUAUACAAAUUGAUUUAGAUAUGACCUUAUCAAACAUGAUUCCACUUUCUGAACUUUGAAGGAUCCUAUGUACAUGUAAAUUCAACGAAAGGUGAACAAUAACUUUUGACUUUCAUAACCUAUUUUGAUUGUUUACAUAUAUGUGAAUGAUGCAGCGGGAAUUUCUCGCUCACAUGCCAAAGUGUUUCUCAAAAUGUAUUAUAGUAUGGUGUGCUUUGAAGUGCAAUGAGUGUUGGCUUAGUGCAUCUAUCUGUUUCAGAUCAUUUUCUUAUUCAAAUACUUGUAAUUAGUUCAAACUUAUAAAAACUUAGUAUUAGCCUGUAGAAUUCUGUGGGCUACAGUCAUGCAAUUAUGAAAAUUUAUUGUAAAUUUUAUUUCGCUAGGUAUUUGACCGAUCUUUCGAACUGUAGACAUGGUAAUCAUGACAGUGUAUUUUAUUGCACUAUAUUCCCGAUGCGAUAAAUUUUUAUUAUACAUUAUAACAUUAUAACAUCGCAGUUAUUUUGCAUUGCUUUAAAAAUUAUUUUCUUUAUAAUAAAAUAAAAUUAGCC
rnacentral:sRNA from 1 species